AUAGGAUUAAGGGUGUGUGCUACCACUGUGUGGCCUCUAUGUCUAAUCUAGUGGCUGGCUCUGUCCUCCGAUUCCCAGGUAAGUUUAUUAGGGUACACAAUAUAUUGGGGCACACAAUAUAUCUCCACAGAGCUGGUAAGCAGUAUGUCUCCAUGGUCUCUGCUUUGGUUUUGGCUUCAAGCUCCUCUUUUGAGUUCCUGCCUCGGCUUUCCUUGAUGACGGACUGUAACCCAACUGUAACCCGUAAGUCAAGUUAAACCCUUUCCUCCCCUGAUCACUUUUGGUCAGAGUGUUUAUUAGAGCAACAGGAAGGCAGACUAGAACAUUUCCCCAGGAGUUAGGUUUGGAAAUGAAGCCUGGCUUUCAGCUUUUCAGGCUUGUUUUGGUUGUUCUGAUUUAAAUUUAAAAACAAUUUAGAAUCAGAGUGUCAAUUUUUGCAAAACACACCUUUUUUGAUAUGAAUUACAUUAAAUCCAUAGAUAAAUCUGCAGAGUAUUGCUGUCCUAAUGAUACUAAGUCCUGUGAAUGUGGAUGUCUGUUUAAUGGGUCUUACAAAAUCUUUUUCAACAGUGUUUCAUAGUUUUCACAGUCCAAGUCUUACAGUUCUUUUGGUAAGUUUAUUUUGUAUGUGAUUCUCUCCAACUGCCUUUCUCUCUGCAUACAUACAGAUGCGUGUGUGUGUGUGUGUGUGUGUGUAUGUGUGUGUGUGUGUGUGUGUGUGUGUAUACGUCUUCAUGUACUCAUGUGAAGGGCAGAGGUCAUUGUCAAGAGUUUUUUUCUAUUACUCUGCUUAUUUGAGGCAGGGUCUUUCUCUUUUCCAUUCUGCAAAAUAAUCCGUUAAUAGAAUGAAAAGAAUAUCACUUCCACACACUAUUCGUAUUAAUGUAUGUGGUGAUGUUGAAUUCACUAGGAUGACAGAGUAACCCCAAUAUGAAUACUGUAAGUAUGUAGAGUUAAGUAUACUGUUCCAACCCACUAACCGGCAUGUUUGGAAUCACUGGGAGGUAGCAGCACAUCUAUUACCUGUUGGGUUGGUUUGAAUGAGGAUUGUUUCCCAGAGCAUCAUGUGUUUGGACAGCUGGUUCCUAGUUGGUGGUGCUGUUUGGGGAGUUUAUGAAACUUAGGAGGUAGAGCCUUGCUGAAGGAAAUACGUCACGGGGCGGACUUUCAGAGUUUAUAGCCCACUUUCAGUUUCCUUUCUCUGCUUUCUGUGUGGUGAAAUGUGAUCAGCGUCUUGCCCUGGCUGCCUGCUGCAAUGCCUGCCUCACUGUUUAGGGACUUGGACCCCGCUGGAACUGUAAGCCAAGGAGGAGAUGAUUACCCGGAUAUGGAAGACAAGCUCUCAGGAACUCCAGCUCUUUCCAUAAAAUUUUAAAGUCUUCAUUGUAGAGGUCCCUCACUGCCUUGAUGACCUGCUUAUUGGAGAAAGUGGGGGACAAGGAAAUGCUUCUGGAGGCUGAGAUGAUGUGCUGGUCCUCUGGUACCCAAGACACUGGUCAGCUGCACAUCUACUACACAAGGGCCAGAAGAUGAGGAGUUCCUGGUUGGAGAGUUAGCAGGCUGUCAAUACUGGAUUAUGGUUAAAUUUCUCACAGGUCCAUUCUGUGGCUCUAGUUGUCUCCUCCAGCCAACCAAGGUCGCAGAAUGCUCCUGAACAUCAGUGCUCCUGGGAUGAUCAUUGACAUGAAUAAACAGGGUGUAAGACAGACCCUGGUGGGCUGUGUAUAAGUGGAGUUUUCUGUCUUCUAAUUUCAAUAAUAGGCCAUGCAAAAGGAAGUCAGGGCUCUCAAGUCCUUCCCACACAGAGGGAGCUUUUCAGUGAUACAGAUGUACCCCAGGACAAAGCUUUCUGGACAGAUGCUAUUGAAGACAUAAGUGUAGCUGAAGUUUUCUCCGGUCCUGCCCAGCCCCACGGACCCUGCAGCCGCUUACAUGUUUGCAUGGUAAACACUCUGCUGAUGGAGCCAUCCCCCCAGAUCCCACUUGUUACUUUUAUUGAAUAAAGUAGACAUAUUACAUUUAACUGAUUAAACUAGAAACAUUUAAAACAAACCCCUUUGGUUGAGAGCUUUCAUCUUUUGGAUUUCUGUAUUCUUAGCUGCUGCAAGUGCGUUCUCGGCUGCCCCCACCUCCUGUGCAUGUGACUCCACAGGAAAGGCUUCCUCUUCCAGAGGAGCUGUUCUCAGAGAAAGAGCUAGAGAAUGUGUAAAUGACUGUUCACCACAGCUCCGCAGCCACUUAUAAAAAUUAUCACUCAGAAGCUUAUAUUAAUUAAAACUGUUUGACCAUCAGUUCAGGCCUACCAGUGAC